GUCUGGAUCUAUUCUAUGUUUUAUUUGAUAAGUAAUAUGUUAAUAAGCUUUACUUGUAUAAAAAAAGCAAUAUGUUAAUAAGCUGAGAAUGGUUGCAACUGGAAGUAAAGAGAAACACCUAGAAAGAGAACAGAAGCUUCAAUUCCAUCACUCACUUAAAAGCUUUAAAUAUUGUCCCCAGUUCCUGAGCAACAUCACAAUGAAAAAGUAAAUUGUCGGAAAUUUGCAUAUCCAACACCAAUCAACUAUAAUUAAAUUGUGCUUCUGAAAUUAUCCAUACAUUGAAUCUUUCCCUAAAGUAUGUUUAAUGCAAGGUUCCUCUAGAUUUUUCUCUCUCCAUACAACCAAAACUUAAAUGAGGAAAAGUGACAUUUUUUCUCUCCGAUAAUGCUUGGUGGUUUGUAACGAGGUUACAGUUGAGGGUUGUGUUUGUUAGGUGUGACUGUGUGAUAGAACAUGGUUCUCAAAACAUUCAGUGAUAGAAUCUAAACUUUUUUCAUUAUCAAAGGAUGAAUGCCUCUUGCUAAUAACCGAGAGAAGCUGGAAGGUGGUGAAUGAGCUGAGGAUGAGGGUGUCCACGCUGCAGUGGUUUGCUAAGUCAUUGGAGGGCUGUCUAAAGGGGGAAAAAAAGGACUUGUACACCACAGUGAGGGAAGGAAAUCACAGCUUCAUAGCGCAUCGAUGUUCAAAUGCUCAUGGUUGUUACUUGGCAUUAGUGGAAUAUAGAGGUGGCAGCAGCAUAGUUUUAUUUUCAUACCUAAAGAGAUAGAGGGUAACAGAUGGAGGAGGAUGGAGGAGGCACUGCGGGAGUUUGCAAAUGAAGGGAGCGGCUUAUGUCAUAAUAGAGGAGGGGCAUAUAUGAGGCUGUUGGUGGCGACGCCUCAGUUGCAAAUAUGUUCAUACAGGGAGGCUCUAGUACCAUUAAGGAAGUUGCUACAACCUUGUGAGUGGAAUAGGGUUGGCAACAACGGUGCUAUGGCAGCUCAGAGAGGAGCCUCUACAAGACCAGGUAAUGAGUAUGGGACCAACAAAGCUCCUCUUACCAUAGGUACAGUCAGUGCUCAGUGGAAAGGUGGAGGUGGCAGGCCUGCUGUUGGUCUUGCAAAGGAAAGCAUACACUGCUGUUGGACGUCAGGCUUCAAUUAAAGGCACUCCAGGAGAAGGUUGACUUCUUCGUAUAGUUGUGCUAAGGAAAUAAACGACUCGAGCCUAGGCUUGGAGUUUAAUGGUAGAAGGGCAUGGCUUGGUGUGGACCUAGACUCGGUGACAAGUUGGUCAGCUCAAAGUGGGCCUAGGCUCAUGGGUAAUUGGACCCAAUUUUGCAGAUGGGCAAACAUUAAGGAGACAAGUGGGCCACUCUUUGGGGCCUUAGCCCAUGGGGCAUAGCCUAGGCAAGGCGAGGCUCGGGACCCAACCCUUGUGGAGAAUCAAAGAGUGCUCUAGGCCCCUGCAAGAGUCUAGCAACCUUGCUGGCAAAGGUUCUAUUUGUUUUGUGACCGGCCGAGGAAUCCUCAACAGUGGCCCAGAAGGCGACGCCAAUGGUGGGGCAGGCGACGACAAAUGUCUUUGAAAAAGUCUCAAAUGUUUCCUCACCAUCGAGGGUCGUUUUUCUAGCACACCAUAGCCAAUCAAUGCCGAGGAGUAGCAAAGAUGGUGGGGAGGCGACAACAGCUGUCUCUUUAAUGCAAACAUUUCCUCACCACCGAGGGUCGGAUUCCCUGCACAUCACAGUUAGAUGACGCCAGAAAUCUACCCAAUAGUUAGACGUGGCCCGACAAGUAGUAGGGAUGUGGUUGCUUUGGACUAUCCAAUGGUAUCCCCUUCGGUGAAGGCUGUAUGGUAGGUGGACGUGGCCAGAGACCUACCCAGUGCGAGAUUUGCCUACGAUGCCAAUGUUGGGCCCUCACAGAUGCUAAUUUUGAUGCAGGCUUUCCUUGAAUGGGAUUGUGGUAAUAUAUUUGUGGAGGAGGAUAUGGGGAUGGCAUUGGAUUCAUAGUGAGCAACUAGGGACGAGAUCGACAUGGUCAGGGACCCAUACCUCUAAACUGUAUGUUACCAAGUUAGUUUAGAGCUUUUGAUUGGGUUAUACAUAAGGUGAAGGAAAUUCAACACUGUGUAGGGAUGGAAUGUGAGGGUUUUGAGGAACAAUUCAUGGCUUUGCUUGCCACCAUUGAAGUUGGUCAUGCUCAGAUCAAGAAAUUAGGAUCUAAAAAACAGAAGGAACUAAAGAGACUAACAUGGUCUCUUAACUAUGAGGGCAGCUCAAGUCAAGAAAGAUCCAAAGGGAAGGGUUUAGCAACUUCUUUAGGAAGCUCAAAAUUGUUUCUUGGAAUGUCCAAGGGCUCAACGAGGCCAAUAAUCGUCUUCGGAUAAAAAAUUUACUUCACAAGUAGAAGACAGACAUUGUGUGCUUACAAGAAACAAAGCUGAAAUGUAUUCCAAGAAGGGUGGUGGAGAAAAUGGAGGAAUUCAUAAGGGAAUACACAGUUUCAUGUUCUUUUAAGAAUGUGGAAGACAACUUUUUGUGGGCUUUUGAUGGUGUUUAUGGGCCAAACUUGGACAACAAUAGAGGACUAUUAUGGGAAGAAAUAGCAAGAGUUCAUAGUUGGUGGGAACUACCUUGGCGUAUAGGUGGUGAGUUUAAUGUUAUAAGAUUCCCAAGUGAACGUUAACGAGAAAGUAGGUUGCAGCCAGCAAUGAUGGAAUUCUCGAAGUUUAUUGUCGAGUUGAGUUUGGUGGGUAUUCCCCUCAUGGGUGGAGCAUUGACUUCAUCGUGUUGGAGGGCAUGGUUGUAAUUAGUGUAACUUGUGAGGGUAUAAUUGUCAAUUGUAUGUAAUAUAUAUAUUCUUGAACAUCAAUGAAUAAUAAACAAGUAUUCUCUCUAUGUUCGACUACAUGGUAUCAGAAUGUUGAGUAGUCGGUUGGUGGUGGUUGUGUGACAGCGUUAGUGGUGUAGUGGUUCAGCUAGUGGGGGUUAGUGGUGCAGAGUUGGUUUGUGGUGGUUAGUGCAAUGGUUCGGCUGUCGGAUCCGAGUUCCCCGUUGUUGUCUGUGCACUCCAGUGGUUUUCGGUGUGGUCUUCGAUGCUGGGCACUAGAGUCGAGCUCGCCAUCAUUCUCUAUGCAUCCUGGUGAGUUUCCCUUAAUCAUUGGCUGCCGGAAGGGCUGUUUGUCACUGGCAACGGCUAAGUCUCGGAGUGUUUGGUUGCAGGUCUAAGCUAUCCAAUCCUCAAGUGCGAAUGCCCCCAACUUGGAGUAAGAGCUUAUUCCUAUCUAGAAUAACACCUAUUUGGUAACGAGAAUACGGUAAACCCAGCUUCACUAAUCCUUAUUUAGGAUAACCUAAUCCGUGUUUAAGGUUAGUUAGAAGCUGAUACCAGUAAUACCCAGUUUAGACCCAAUACAACCCUAUACAGGCUGGUUUUGACCCAAUACAAGCUGAUUCUGAUCGAUACAGAGCCAAAAUUUGGUUACUCAGGUCGAUUUUUCGGGUACUUAAGCUGGGUUUCUAUUUGCCAGAUUGUGUUUCUCGGUCUUUCAUCCAUAUUUCAUAUUUUGUGUGGAUUUUCUGUCUCCAAGUUGAAUUGUGAUAUUUUAUUUGCAUCCAUAGCAAUUAAAUGUGAGUCAUUGUCUCUUGCACCAAACUUUAAUAUGCCUAUGACUUUGGUGAAGUUGAAUGGAAAGAACUAUAUGCUGUGGUCAAAAUCUAUUAAAAUGUUUUUGAAAGGCAAGGGUGUUUGUACCCACUUGGUUGAUCCAAUGCUCGACUCAAUUAGUUCUACAUUUGCUCAAUGAGAACAAGAAGAUGUUCAAAUUUUGUCCUUGAUGUUGACCAAUAUUGAGCCUAUCAUUUGCGCUAGUUUGAUACAUUUUGACACUACUCGAGGUGUGGAGGCAUCUCAAAUAGAUAUAUUCUGGUGAUGGAAACAUAACCCGUAGUUAUGAGUUGUGUAAGGAAUUCUUUGGUUUGAACAUGGUACUUUGGGCUUGGAAGAGUAUUAUUCUCAAGUGAUGAGCAUAUGUGAACUCAAUGUAUCAACCUAUCUCAUCUGAUGUUUCACGCAUGCAACAACAACGUGAAGCAAUGUAUCAACCUAUCUCAUCUGAUGUUUCACCCAUGCAACAACAACGUGAAGAGUUCAAUGUUGUUUGGUUUCUUACAGGCUUAAAACCUGAAUAUGAGGCUUUGGUUGAAGAUGAAGAUGCACAUACCUAGCAUGGGUUUUAUACAUGCAGUUUGGGCCUUGAGUUUGGCCAUGUUUUACCAGGUUUCUCCUUGGGUCCUAAUAACCAAAGGGGUGGCCCAUUUAAUAGAUCCAACUAAAUUCUAAGUCUUGCCAAUAAUUUGAUGUGCUAAGCUGCUUAACAAUCCUAACGGGCCGAUCUUACAUUCUAAAUUGAGCUCAACUCAUUUAAUAAUACUUUUUGGACUAUUAAAUAAUUCUUGGGCCUAAUACCAAUUAAAUAUAGGUCCACUUGGUCUAUAAAUAUUAAAUGGAUUUAACUCAAUUAUUGAGACCAAUAAGAAUUCCAUAAUCAAUCAUAAUAAAUGCCCAUGGCCUAUUCCAAAUUACCCGAUAAAUCUCAAUUGGGCUUCUAUAAAUAUUGGCCCAUUAAUACCAUCUAAAAUCAUCCACUAAACCUUAAUAAAAUUUUGGACCUAUAGGCCUAUUUAAAAUCCAUAAUCAACCUCAGCAAAUUCUAGCUCAUGGGCUUCUUCAAAAAAUUUAUUUAACUUAAUGUAGGCCCAAUAAAAUUAUCCCUAAUAAUAUUGGAUUGGGUCAUAACAUAGUGUAACAUACGAACCUAGAAUUUAGACUAAUUCAGUUAGAAAUUAUUUAGUUAUGUUAUUAUUUUAUUUAUUCUUUUUAUUAAUUACUUAUUUAUCUUUCUUCAGAUGCUUAUAAUUAUUUAUUUGUUAAAUAAGAUAAUAAACCAGAUUAAGUAAAGUUUUAAAGAGGUUUCCUUUAUCUUGUAUUCCUUGUUUUUAUCGGAUAGAAUUCAAAUUGUUUUCAAAAAGAUUCUGAGAUCAGAACAACACUUAAAUUAGAUCCUAUCUAAACUCCUUCUGAAGACCACGUAAAUAAGAAACCCUUUCUCCAUAAAACCCCACAUUAUACUCAAAACUCUUCACAUACAAAGAUAGGCAGAAAAACUCACACCAGCCCAACGUAACAGCUCCUACAAACCUGGAAAACCACUUUCACAGCCAACCAAGGCAACCAACUCGCCGGAAACAGCCACAGAAAGUGCCGACCAGCCCAAUCCCGUCGAACCCACUCCCUUCCGGCCAAUGGUGUUGCCGGUCACUUCCAGCCAUCCCAGAGCUGUCAUCGCCUCAGCUUCCUCUUGGUAAAGCAUCGCACAGCCACUUGAUUUUCUUUUUCUUUCUUUGGUUACAAUGAUACGCGUGAGCCAUUCCCGUAAGCUCCUCCUGGACUCUUUUAUUUGCUUUACUUUAGACUUUCCCAAUAGCCCCUCAAAUAAACUCUUAUAUUACCUUUAUGCCCUUUAAAGCCCCCGUAAUCAUCUUUUGAAGAACCUUUGGUUAAAAUUACAAUCCUGCCAUUAAGUGCCUAUGCCUUAUUUAUGUUCCUAUACGUGGGCUGCCCCUCACUUAGGCCUUGGGCCUCCUUUUUUUUCUUAAGUGGUUGCUUUCAUAUUAUUUUAAAUUAGGGCUUGAUUUUACUACAUUUCAGCAAUUGUUUUAGUGAUUUUAUUGGACUGAUUAUAUUU